CCUACGGGAGGCAGCAGUGAGGAAUAUUGGUCAAUGGACGGAAGUCUGAACCAGCCAUGCCGCGUGCGGGAUGACGGCUCUAUGAGUUGUAAACUGCUUUUGUAUUAGGGUAACCACCCCUACGUGUAGAGGCCUGAAAGUAUAGUACGAAUAAGGACCGGCUAACUCCGUGCCAGCAGCCGCGGUAAUACGGAAGGUCCAAGCGUUAUCCGGAUUUAUUGGGGUUAAAGGGUGCGUAGGCGGGUUGAUAAGUUAGCUGUGAAAUACCGGUGCUCAACACCGGCCCCGCCUCUAAUACUGUUGAACUAGAGAGUAGUUGCGGUAGGCGGAAUGUAUGGUGUAGCGGUGAAAUGCUUAGAGAUCAUACAGAACACCGAUUGCGAAGGCAGCCUACCAAACUACAACUGACGUUGAGGCACGAAGGUGUGGGUAGCAAACAGGAUUAGAUACCCUGGUAGUC
rnacentral:rRNA from 1 species